GGGUGCAUAGCUCAAUGGAUAGAGCACCGCCCUUCUAAGGCGUAGGUUGUAGGUUCGAGUCCUACUGCACCCG
rnacentral:tRNA from 1 species